UGCUGCUGGAGCUGGUGACUGCUGUCAGAAGAGGAGCUGCUGCUGCAGGGGUGGAUGAGAAGCCUUGCUACCCUGAGAGAAGGCUGCCAGCUUAGUCCAUGCUUACUACCUCUUCAUGUCUUCUCUAGAGAAAAUGGAAGUUCCUCAGGAUGUUAGACAUGGAGAUUUCCUUUGCUGGUGCCAAGAGAGGACUCUUCUUUCAGAAAAGUCCCUGCCCACACUGAGUACUUUGGUAGCUAUAAAGUAUUUCUACUUCCAUUUACUUUGAACUAAAGAACAUCUUCAGUAAGGAGAACAGUGAACUGAAAUUUCCUUUCAACACUUCUUUUUUUUC